GACGUAGGGCGCGAGCGUUGUCCGGAUUUAUUGGGCGUAAAGAGCUCGUAGGCGGCUUGUCGCGUCGACCGUGAAACCUCACAGCUCAACUGUGAGCCUGCGGUCGAUACGGGCAGGCUAGAGUUCGGUAGGGGAGACUGGAAUUCCUGGUGUAGCGGUGAAAUGCGCAGAUAUCAGGAGGAACACCGGUGGCGAAGGCGGGUCUCUGGGCCGAUACUGACGCUGAGGAGCGAAAGCGUGGGGAGCGAACAGG
rnacentral:rRNA from 1 species